rnacentral:rRNA from 1 species
GGGAUAACAGUUGGAAACGACUGCUAAUACCGCAUAAGCGCACAGGAUCGCAUGAUCCGGUGUGAAAAACUCCGGUGGUAUGAGAUGGACCCGCGUCUGAUUAGCCAGUUGGCAGGGUAACGGCCUACCAAAGCGACGAUCAGUAGCCGACCUGAGAGGGUGACCGGCCACAUUGGGACUGAGACACGGCCCAAACUCCUACGGGAGGCAGCAGUGGGGAAUAUUGCACAAUGGGGGGAACCCUGAUGCAGCGACGCCGCGUGAGCGAAGAAGUAUUUCGGUAUGUAAAGCUCUAUCAGCAGGGAAGAAGAAUGACGGUACCUGACUAAGAAGCACCGGCUAAAUACGUGCCAGCAGCCGCGGUAAUACGUAUGGUGCAAGCGUUAUCCGGAUUUACUGGGUGUAAAGGGAGCGCAGGCGGUGCGGCAAGUCUGAUGUGAAAGCCCGGGGCUCAACCCCGGUACUGCAUUGGAAACUGUCGUACUAGAGUGUCGGAGGGGUAAGUGGAAUUCCUAGUGUAGCGGUGAAAUGCGUAGAUAUUAGGAGGAACACCAGUGGCGAAGGCGGCUUACUGGACGAUAACUGACGCUGAGGCUCGAAAGCGUGGGGAGCAAACAGGAUUAGAUACCCUGGUAGUCCACGCCGUAA